UUCAACUCUUAUGUCGCAAUUAAAUCAAAAAAUAAAAUGAAAAAUACAUUAAACCUUGAACAAGCAACAUAAGCAUUUCCAAAAGAAACUUUUGACAACCCCAACAUAAUAAGCACGUCCAAAACAAAAGCAAAGAAAACAUGGUUUGAAUGUAGUUGGAAAAAUAAAAUAAUGGAGUUAUUUUUGCCAGCAAUUAUUGUGUGCCAAUCUUUUCAAGGUAAAUGUUAGGAGAAGAGUCUUAAAGAGUGAGCGGAGAAGCCAUUUUUUCCACAAAACAAAAAUAUUCGUAUCGUCAGAGGGAACAUCUUGUGUUAUGUGGGCACUCAUGUUUCCCAAACACCUAGAUGGAUUGAUAAAAGCAUGCCUUUAAUUGCUCUUCUUGUUCAUUUCUGGACUUACUUGUUCAUGGUCGGGGUCCGGGGAGAUCUGUUGUGGGCUUCAGACAGCUACGGCUCAUUCACAAACAACCAAAAGUAAUUGGGGUUUUCCGGAUCUUCUUCAGAUCAAUUUUGUGUAUGGCGGGAAGGAGCUGUUGGCGAUUGAUGGUGAAAAUUCAAGCGAAAUGCCUCCAUAUUGGUUACCAUCAGACGCCAUUACAGACAUCCUUAUGUGGGUAGUAUUUAAAUGGUGACGGUCCCCCUCCAUGUGCAUCACAUGCCCUGUUAAAUUCUUCCACUGUCAUGAAUCGAUUGAAACAUCAAUUGAAGAGUCGAUUUUAUUUAAUGGUAGGGUUUUGGACCUUAUGCUAUAGCUGUGUUUUGGGUUCGUAUUUGGGAGUCAGAAGGAGAAACUAUCUAUGUAAAGAGGGUUUCAUACAGAUCUUGUAGUGUGUUGUGAUCUGUAACAAGGGGUAACCUGUUGAGGAAAAGAUGAAAAAACUAUGCUAGGUGUACCUUCUGUUUGAAAAUGAUCUCCGGCUAUUUUUUGACCUACCUGUUAAUUUACCUGUAUAUGCAUUACUGCAAACAGUGAUUUGUUUCAACUCAAUGGAGCAGUAUAAUUAGAUCUUGUUACAGUGUUAAA